AUGAACGCUAGCUACAGGCUUAACACAUGCAAGUCGAGGGGCAGCAUGGUCUUAGCUUGCUAAGGCCGAUGGCGACCGGCGCACGGGUGAGUAACACGUAUCCAACCUGCCGUCUACUCUUGGACAGCCUUCUGAAAGGAAGAUUAAUACAAGAUGGCAUCAUGAGUUCGCAUGUUCACAUGAUUAAAGGUAUUCCGGUAGACGAUGGGGAUGCGUUCCAUUAGAUAGUAGGCGGGGUAACGGCCCACCUAGUCUUCGAUGGAUAGGGGUUCUGAGAGGAAGGUCCCCCACAUUGGAACUGAGACACGGUCCAAACUCCUACGGGAGGCAGCAGUGAGGAAUAUUGGUCAAUGGGCGCAGGCCUGAACCAGCCAAGUAGCGUGAAGGAUGACUGCCCUAUGGGUUGUAAACUUCUUUUAUAAAGGAAUAAAGUCGGGUAUGUAUACCCGUUUGCAUGUACUUUAUGAAUAAGGAUCGGCUAACUCCGUGCCAGCAGCCGCGGUAAUACGGAGGAUCCGAGCGUUAUCCGGAUUUAUUGGGUUUAAAGGGAGCGUAGAUGGAUGUUUAAGUCAGUUGUGAAAGUUUGCGGCUCAACCGUAAAAUUGCAGUUGAUACUGGAUAUCUUGAGUGCAGUUGAGGCAGGCGGAAUUCGUGGUGUAGCGGUGAAAUGCUUAGAUAUCACGAAGAACUCCGAUUGCGAAGGCAGCCUGCUAAGCUGCAACUGACAUUGAGGCUCGAAAGUGUGGGUAUCAAACAGGAUUAGAUACCCUGGUAGUCCACACGGUAAACGAUGAAUACUCGCUGUUUGCGAUAUACAGCAAGCGGCCAAGCGAAAGCGUUAAGUAUUCCACCUGGGGAGUACGCCGGCAACGGUGAAACUCAAAGGAAUUGACGGGGGCCCGCACAAGCGGUGGAGUAUGUGGUUUAAUUCGAAGCAACGCGAAGAACCUUACCAGGCCUUGACAUCCCUUGCAGAGGUAUAGAGAUAUAUCCGAGGUUAUCAAGGAGACAGGUGGUGCAUGGUUGUCGUCAGCUCGUGCCGUGAGGUGUCGGCUUAAGUGCCAUAACGAGCGCAACCCUUGUUGUCAGUUACUAACAGGUUCCGCUGAGGACUCUGACAAGACUGCCAUCGUAAGAUGUGAGGAAGGUGGGGAUGACGUCAAAUCAGCACGGCCCUUACGUCCGGGGCUACACACGUGUUACAAUGGGGGGUACAGAGGGCCGCUACCACGCGAGUGGAUGCCAAUCCCAAAAACCUCUCUCAGUUCGGACUGGAGUCUGCAACCCGACUCCACGAAGCUGGAUUCGCUAGUAAUCGCGCAUCAGCCACGGCGCGGUGAAUACGUUCCCGGGCCUUGUACACACCGCCCGUCAAGCCAUGGGAGCCGGGGGUACCUGAAGUGCGUAACCGCGAGGAGCGCCCUAGGGUAAAACUGGUGACUGGGGCU
rnacentral:rRNA from 1 species